GAGCAACUGUAAGCGCACCUUCUACUACAACCCGCGGCGGCUGGACGACCACCAGACGGUGCGCGACGUGCGCCUGCAGGACGGCUCGGUGCUGCUGCUCGUCAGCGACCCCAGGUAGUCUGGGUUGGAGGAGGUGGAGCCAUGACCGAGGGGACCGAAGAUGCCGGCUGAAGGAGCAGGCUGGGUGGGGGACACCUUCGGGAGGUUCUGGGCUCCUAGGGUGGACAGUGAAACACUGGCCUGACCAGCUGAUGCCCACUGCCAUGGACAGUCCUGAGGGAGCCCCACUCCCUGACACUGAGCGAGGACAUUGUCGCCCCAACCCAGCCAAUCAGGUUGUACUGUGUGACCCUGAGGCCAUGCCACAGGAACCACUGUGCCAGCUUGGGCAGCGUGUGAAGAGAAGCACAAAGGAGAGAGGAGAGGAAAUCAGGCAGCACCUCUCCUACCUUGUACAUUCUCUUGGCCCAAGCUGUGCCCCUGCCAAAGGCACCUUCCACACCCCUCUCUGCGGCUCCAGCCCACCUGGAAUUCCAGCCUCCUCCAGGAAGUCUUCUCGGAUGCCCUCCUGCCCAGCCAGUGAGCACCGCAUCCUCUUGUGGGUCCCCACAAGCCCCUCUACUGUGAACAGCCUUGGCUGUGGGGUAUAGCCAGUCGCUCAGGAAAUCUCAAAUGACUGAAGGUGGAGACUGGGGGACGCAGCCCUCUCCCGGUUCUCCAGCGGCGUUCUGUGUUCUACCCUUUUCCCCAAUACCUCCUCUCAUUGCAUCUGUGCCCGCCCCCUUCGAGUGCCCUCCCUUAAUGCCUUGCCCCCUGCCUGCUGCAUGGGGUUUCCUGGUUGCGUCGGAAGGACUCUGGUCGAGUAGGCAGAGAUCUGGGGGUCCCUGUGCCUGGUAGAGCACUGAGGCUUGGGUGGUAAUCUUUUCUUUUUCUUUUUCCCCACCA